UGAAUGUUAGUCACAAAAAUUACCCAAACACGAGCACUGACUUGGAAAUACUAAAUGCGGUAAGUGCUACUUGUUGGGGUACUUUUACUGA
rnacentral:pre_miRNA from 13 species